rnacentral:rRNA from 1 species
AGUGAACGCUGGCGGUAGGCCUAACACAUGCAAGUCGAACGGCAGCACAGUAAGAGCUUGCUCUUACGGGUGGCGAGUGGCGGACGGGUGAGGAAUACAUCGGAAUCUACUUUUUCGUGGGGGAUAACGUAGGGAAACUUACGCUAAUACCGCAUACGACCUACGGGUGAAAGCAGGGGAUCUUCGUACCUUGCGCGAUUGAAUGAGCCGAUGUCGGAUUAGUUAGUUGGAGGGGUAAAGGCCCCCCAAGGCGACGAUCCGUAGCUGGUCUGAGAAGGUGAUCGGCCCCACUGGGACUGAAAAAAGGUCCAGACUCCUACGGGAGGCACCAGUAGGGAAUGUUGAGCAAUGGGAGCAAGCCUAAUCCAACCAGAGCGAAUAAGUGAGGAAGGCCUUCGGGUUGUAGAACCCUUUUGUUGGGAAAGAAAAGCGGCAGUAUAAUACCCCGCUGUUCUGACGGUACCCAAAGAAUAAGCACCGGCUAACUUCGUG